CUUCUCAUCGUCCGUCCCCCGUGGUAUCUAAUCUGGGUUAGGGUUUCCGUUCGUCGUCUCUAAUCUCUGUCGAAUUGAAAAGCUAGGGUUAGGGUUUCCGACGGGGCGUUGCUCAUCCAUGGCGCUGCGCACGUUCUACAACGAGAUCAAGGGGAUGAAGGUGAGGGAGCUCCCCGGGUACCUGAAGCCGCGGCUCACGUGGGAUUACAUCAAGAAGAGCGCGGACCAGGCCGUGGACCGCUACAUCGAGAAGUACAUCGAGACGAGCUCCGUCGAGCCCCUCUUCCACGUCUGCAUCGGCGGCAUGAUCUUCUCCUACCUCGUCGCCCUCCCCCACGAGCGCCGCCACCUCGAGCACCAGCAAGCUGCCGCCGCCGCCGGAGGAGGCGGCGGCCACCACUGAUCCCGCCGCCCCCAGUCUCUCUGGGCUUCUGAACUUCUUCGAGGACAAUUCGUUCUUUCCAUUCGUUAAGACAGAUGGAAAACGUUGAAGUGAUUCUUAAUGAAAGAUGAUUACAAAAGAGUCGAUAAAAUGGACCGAAGAUCAUUUUCUGGGUUGGUUGUGAUGAAAGCUUGCAUCUCAUUUCUUCGGCAGAUAUUUUACCUACACCAAUGUUCUUCCAUUGCCUUGUUUGCAUGGAAGGUUGGAAUAAACGUUUAGUCUCUUGUUUCUGGGUUUUCCAUCUUGACGAUGUUUUGUUGUCGUGAAUAACUACAUUGCCUUAAGUGCGACAUUUUGUGUUUGAACAAAUUGUAUGGAAAAUACUUUCAGGUAUUGUGAGCACACUUUGCUCUAGUUUCUAAAUUGAUUGAUUACAUUUGUAAGUCCGAUUUACAAUA